UAACAUCUGCAGGCUGGCCGCCCCCUAGGCUGGGCUGGGCGAGUAUCCUUUCGAAAGGCUUGCCCUCGAGUACGACUAGGAGC
rnacentral:pre_miRNA from 1 species